rnacentral:lncRNA from 10 species
UGUUUUUAUUAGCUAGUUGAAUGUUGCAUAUUGCUAAUAUGUUUUUUCUCUCUUGUCUCUCUGAAAACAGGAUGGAGUGAUGACACCUUUGAAUUUGUGCAUCUAUAUGGGAUACUGCUUUUAAGUGUCUCCAAGAGUGCCUCAUGUCAGGAAAUCCAAUGCAUGAAAAAUGUGGCAAGUAUGAAUGUCCGUUGAACAAGGACAUAAUUUAUUCUACAGCCUUAUCACAACAUAAAGUUAUGUGGGAACUUCCUGGCUUCCCAUCAAUUAUAAAAUACCAGACUAGUCAGUUGACUACAUGGAGCAAUUAUUGACCUAAUAAAUCCAACAAAAUUUGCUCUUACAUACCAAGAAGACAUACCUCCAACAAUAUAUUGUGAUCUUGCCAUCUUCCCAUUAAGAAAGAAAAACGAUUUUCUCCACCUUUGAAACUGGAUGAGCACUGUGUCUGCUUUGACCAAUGAAACGAGGCAGAAGUGACAUUCUGGGAACUCCAAGCCCAGGUCUAAAACAUACCUGGCAGUUUCCAUUUCCUGUCGCUUGCAAGACUAGCCCUAGGACCCUCUGCCUCAGGAUUCAGCCACCGUGCUAUGAGAUGACCAAGUCACGUGAAGAGGGCAGGUGUUGGCAUGUCUCAAAAUCCCCAGUUGAACUCUAGCUGACAGCUGUCAGCAUAUGCCGGAAUGAGAGUGAGCCACCUGAAAACCCAGCCCAGUCAAACCUUUAGAGACUUCAGCUCCAGUUCCAGCUAACUGAAACCCAGGAGAUAUUAAAUGAAAACCAUCCAGCUAAGCUCUCUCACCCAGAGAAUUGUGAGAGAUAAUCAUUCAAAUUAAUCAAUAAGUAAAACAUCUGUUUGGAGUCUGCAGGUAAAAACAAAUCCCAAGAUAUAACUCUGAAACUCAGAGUUACUGCCUCUGAUUUCAUAAGUGCUGUUUUAAGUCAUUCAAUUUUGAAGUAAUUUAUUAAACAACAAUAUAUAACCAGAACAUAAUGUAACUGUCACUUUACUCUUCAUCUAACAUACGUUUUUUACUCCACCUGCUGGGUUGGGAGCGGGUAAAGUCAACGAGGAAAUUACAGCAUGACCUAGAUAUUGGAGAAUAGGAUAUUUCAUGUUUAUUAUUGUUCUUAAAGCUGGAUCCAAACGGGACACAAUUUCAUACCCAUAAGAUUGGCAAUCUGACAAUAACAAAAACUAGAAACCAUGUGGAUCAAUAAGAACUCUUCUAUGCUGGCAGUGAGAAUGUGAACAAGUACAAAAACUUUGGAAAGAAAUAUGGUGAUAGCUGGUGGAGUUGAAGACACAAUCCAGAAAUCUCAUUCCUAGGCAUGUACUCUAGAGAAAUUCUUACAGAUGAAUACAAAAAAAAUGUACAAAAAUGUCUUUAAUAGCAUCAUUUGUAAAAGUUAAAAAUUAGAGAUACCUUCAAAGUCUAUCAAGAAGAGAACAGAUUAAUAAGUUAUAGUGUAUUUAAAUGUUAUACAAAAAUGAAAUAAACUAAAGCUAUAUCAGCAAGAAUGC